rnacentral:rRNA from 1 species
UACGUAGGGUGCAAGCGUUAAUCGGAAUUACUGGGCGUAAAGCGCACGUAGGCGGCUUUGUAAGUUAGAGGUGAAAGCCCGGGGCUCAACUCCGGAACUGCCUUUAAGACUGCAUCGCUUGAAUCCAGGAGAGGUGAGUGGAAUUCCGAGUGUAGAGGUGAAAUUCGUAGAUAUUCGGAAGAACACCAGUGGCGAAGGCGGCUCACUGGACUGGUAUUGACGCUGAGGCGCGAAAGCGUGGGGAGCAAACAGG